rnacentral:miRNA from 1 species
UUUUUACGUGUCAUGAUGCUCA